rnacentral:rRNA from 1 species
GAUGAACGCUGGCGGCGUGCCUAAUACAUGCAAGUCGAGCGAACAGAUGAGGAGCUUGCUCCUCUGACGUUAGCGGCGGACGGGUGAGUAACACGUGGAUAACCUACCUAUAAGACUGGGAUAACUUCGGGAAACCGGAGCUAAUACCGGAUAAUAUAUUGAACCGCAUGGUUCAAUAGUGAAAGACGGUUUUGCUGUCACUUAUAGAUGGAUCCGCGCCGCAUUAGCUAGUUGGUAAGGUAACGGCUUACCAAGGCGACGAUGCGUAGCCGACCUGAGAGGGUGAUCGGCCACACUGGAACUGAGCCACGGUCCAGACUCCUACGGGAGGCAGCAGUAGGGAAUCUUCCGCAAUGGGCGAAAGCUUGACGGAGCAACGCCGCGUGAGUGAUGAAGGUCUUCGGAUCGUAAAACUCUGUUAUUAGGGAAGAACAAAUGUGUAAGUAACUAUGCACGUCUUGACGGUACCUAAUCAGAAAGCCACGGCUAACUACGUG